UAAAAAUCCAUUUUUAAGUUCCUUUCUAAAAUCAUGUUUCUCUGUGGUCUUCAGAUGGGAUAAUUUCUAUUGGUCUAUUUUCAAGUUCAAUGACCCUUUCUUCUGCCGACUCCAAUCCGAUGUUUUAAGUUUAUCCAGUGAAUUUUUUAUUUUAGAUCUUGUAGCUUUGAGUUCUGAAAUUUCCAUUUGGAUCUCUUUUAUAGUUUCUAUUUUCUGCUGAAAUGUCUACAUCUGUUCACUCAUUAUGAAUAUCUUUUCUUUUUAAACGCCUAAACAUGUUUAUGGUAGUUAUUUACAAUUUUUUAUCUCUUAGUUCCAACAUCUCUGUUAUUUGGGGACCUGCUUAUAUUGGGUCUAUUUUCUUAAUUAUGGGUCUCAUUUUCCUGUUUCUUCUCAUGUCCAGAAUGUUUUCUUACUGUGUUGUUGGCCAUUGUGGAUGAGGCAUUGUGGGGCAUCUUGUUCACAUUUUCUUCCUUUAAUGGGUGUUGAUUUGUUCUGGUAGCUCUUCAUCCUUGCAGGCUAGUGUUUUUUGCUUUUUUCUUCACUAUGUUUUUUUCCUUGCUUUAAGGUAUGGCACUGAUGCUAACUCAUGGCUGUUAGCCCUAAGGUGUUGCCUUUCCAGGAUUACUCCUGAACGUUCCAAGCAUUUCCUGAGGUCUCGCUACUUUUGUCUGGACUGGAAUUUGGUCUCUGAGCCCUGCAUGACCUGCUGUAACUCUACACAACAGCCGCCCUCUGAUGGGCUUUGUGGAGUCCAGUCCUGUGCAGAGCAGCCCUUGGCCGAGCACCCAGAGGAGACCUUGGAGAUGCCAGUCUCCUUCAGCACAACUCCCCUCUCUUCACUGUUGUGUUCAUUUGCUAGGGCUGUCGUAGCACAGUACCACCCACUGAGUGACUUAACUAGCCUGCAUUCCUCACAGUUAUGGAUGCUAGAAGUUCAAGGUCAAGGUGUCACUCUGUGUAUCUAGAUCUCGCUAUAAGAACGCCAGUCAGAUUCGAUUAGGGCCGCCUUAAGAGACUCAUUUUACUUACUCAUGUCUUUAAAAGCCCUGUCCUGGGACUUCCCUAGUGGUCUAGUGGCUAAGACUCUGUGCUCCCAAUGCAGGGGCCCAGGCUUGACUCCUGGUCAGGGAACUAGAUCCCACAAGUCACAACUAAGACCUGGUCACAGCCAAAUAAGGAAAUAAAAUAUUUAUUUUAUUUUAGAUCUUGUAGCUUUGAGUUCUGAAAUUUCCAUUUGGAUCUCUUUUAUAGUUUCUAUUUUCUGCUGAAAUGUCUACGUCUGUUCACUCAUUAUGAAUAUCUUUUCUUUUUAAAUGCCUAAACAUAUUUAUGGUAGUUGUUUAUAAUUUUCUAUCUCUUAAUUCUAACAUCUCUGUUAUUUGGGGACCUGUUUAAAAAGAAAUCCAGAUUCUUUGCCAACUGAGUCACCAGGGGAGCCCACCGUAUUUCUUGCUCCCCCUAAAUCCAGAGCGGGAUGCUUCCAGACCUGGUCUCCACUUUGAACAAGAAAGAGGGUUUUCUCUGCACUUUUGGGAAAAGUUCUUUCUCCUGGAGGUCAGAUCCUGGAGAUCCCCCAGAGAAUUAUGGCAGCUUUCGGCUUUUAAGGCCUUCUUUUCAGAAUCCAACUCUGCAGAUCCAGCGAGUUCAGUUGGUGGAGUCGGGGUGGGAGGUUGCAUUUUUAUUAGCAUCAGAAAGAAACAAAU
ensembl:lncRNA